rnacentral:rRNA from 1 species
GUCUACAGCCAUGCCACCCUGAAUGCACCCGAUCUCAUCUGAUCUCGGAAGCGAACCAGGGUCGGGCCUGGUUAGUAUUUGGAUGGGAGACCACCUAGGAAUACUGGGCGUUAAAGAAA